UGUGUACUCCCUCCGUCCAAAAAUAUUUGCCGGAGAAAUGGAUGUAUCUAGACAUAUUUUAGUUUUAAAUACAUCCAUUUUUAUCCAUUUCUCCGACAAGUAUUUUUGGACGGAAGGAGUACAAA
rfam:Triticum aestivum genome assembly, contig: Triticum_aestivum_CS42_TGACv1_scaffold_129557_2BL